AUGUUCGUUUCAGCAGCAUAUAUACUGAAAUUGAAGCAUUACAGAGAUUACCUGGCCCUGUGCAAGGAUGACAUGCAAAUUUGUGAAGUGUUCCAUAUUUCC
ensembl:snRNA U6 U6 spliceosomal RNA